UUGCCUUAGUAACGGCGAGUGAAGCGGCAACAGCUCAAAUUUGAAAUCUGGCUCCUUCGGGGUCCGAGUUGUAAUUUGCAGAGGAUGCUUCGAGUUAUGGUUCCUUCCGAGUUCCCUGGAACGGGACGCCAUAGAGGGUGAGAGCCCCGUCUGGUAGGAAACCAUGCUCAUGUGAAGCUCCCUCGACGAGUCGAGUAGUUUGGGAAUGCUGCUCUAAGGGGAGGUAUACUCCUUCCAAGGCUAAAUACCGGCUAGAGACCGAUAGCGCACAAGUAGAGUGAUCGAAAGAUGAAAAGUACUUUGAAAAGAGAGUCAAACAGCACGUGAAAUUGUUAAAAGGGAAGCGCUCGCUACCAGACGUGGGUUCGGUGGUUCAACCAGGUCCAUGACCUGGGGCACUCCGCCGGCCCAGGCCAGCAUCAGCUUUCCGUCGGGGGCAAAGGCGUCGGGAAUGUGGCUCUCCUUCGGGGGAGUGUUAUAGCCCGUCGCGUCAUACCCUUCGGGGGGCUGAGGUACGCGCUCCGCAAGGAUGCUGGCGUAAUGGUAGCUAGUGACCCGUCUUGAAACACGGACCAAGGAGUCAACCUUAUGUGCGAGUGCCCGGGCGUAAAACCCCAGCGCGGAAUGAAAGUGAACGUAGGUGAGAGCUUCGGCGCAUCACCGACCGAUCCUGAUGUCCUCGGACGGAUUUGAGUGAGAGCAUAUAGGGUUGGACCCGAAAGAAGAUGAACUAUGCGUGUGUAGGGUGAAGCCAGAGGAAACUCUGGUGGAGGCUCGCAGCGGGUUCUGACGUGCAAAUCGAUCGUCAAACAUGCGCAUGGGGGCGAAGACUAAUCGAAUCUUCUGGUAGCUGGUUUCGCGAG
rnacentral:rRNA from 1 species